UAUGAAUGUCGCCCUCUACAGAAAUCAGCAAUACUCAAAAAGUUUGAAAUCAAAUCAUCACCAUCAUAAUUGCGACAUAGCACACUUAAUGCGUCUUCUAUUGAAGCGAUUGUUAGCCAAUUUUUUAGAUUGCUUCUCUGACAUUUUGCUGAUGUGGAAUUUAAUUGAUGCAUCCUUUACGUUGGAAUAUGUGCGGGAUAUUGUGGUAUUCACAGUAUUUUGAGGGUAAAACGCCUUAAUCGCUGCUCAAAAUGCUUGAUGGAAGCGAAUCUCUCCUCUUCAAUCAUGAUAAAAUAUAUAACCUGCAUUACGAUACAAGACAACUGUUAUCUAUGUUCAUCUCAUCAAUUCAUCUCAUCAUCUUACGAAUCCAUUGAUCUAGGCCCCUUUCACAGACAAAGAGAAAUCACCUUUCUUGCUCUCUCGCGCUACCAAGCAAACAUCUCCCCGUCGCUAGUUUCUAAAUCUGUUAUGAUCCUAUUCAAGAAACAUUCUUUGCGAUUUCCUCCAAAAACAGGGCUAAACACCUGGUUACUGAUGUCUGCACAUGCUUUUUUCUCGCAUCCUUUGUUUCUUCGGAUGUACCUACCUGCGGACAAUUUCCUCUGCGGAAGAGAAGUCGUAAGUGUAGACGUUUGAGCAGGUGGCUGGCUUUGCACGUAUUCAUUGAUGUUUUUUUUUAGCAGGUGCUAAUACAUCACUGACAAAGGUGAAAUAGGCUGCUAAAGCAUUCUGACAUUAGCAAAAUGAUCGAGUUGUAGUGAUUCAUAGAAAUUUUAUCUAAAUCCUUAAUACUAAAACAAUUCGCUUUUCUUUUCAAUUUCAAUAACAAUCAAUUAUUUUUAUUAAAUAUAUUUGUUGGGGUAUUAUAAUAAAAAUUUAAUAGGCAUUAAGGGUGUUUGAAUUCUUUUAAAGAUUUCAGGUAAAUUAUGGACUGUUCCAUUAUUUUGAAAAUUCCAGAAGGU